CUGUGAAGAUGCAGUGUACCCGCGGCAAGACGGAAAGACCCCGUGAACCUUUACUAUAGCUUGACACUGAACAUUGAGCCUUGAUGUGUAGGAUAGGUGGGAGGCUUUGAAGUGUGGACGCCAGUCUGCAUGGAGCCGACCUUGAAAUACCACCCUUUAAUGUUUGAUGUUCUAACGUGGACCCGUAAUCCGGGUUGCGGACAGUGUCUGGUGGGUAGUUUGACUGGGGCGGUCUCCUCCUAAAGAGUAACGGAGGAGCACGAAGGUUGGCUAAUCCUGGUCGGACAUCAGGAGGUUAGUGCAAUGGCAUAAGCCAGCUUGACUGCGAGCGUGACGGCGCGAGCAGGUGCGAAAGCAGGUCAUAGUGAUCCGGUGGUUCUGAAUGGAAGGGCCAUCGCUCAACGGAUAAAAGGUACUCCGGGGAUAACAGGCUGAUACCGCCCAAGAGUUCAUAUCGACGGCGGUGUUUGGCACCUCGAUGUCGGCUCAUCACAUCCUGGGGCUGAAGUAGGUCCCAAGGGUAUGGCUGUUCGCCAUUUAAAGUGGUACGCGAGCUGGGUUUAGAACGUCGUGAGACAGUUCGGUCCCUAUCUGCCGUGGGCGCUGGAGAAUUGAGGGGGGCUGCUCCUAGUACGAGAGGACCGGAGUGGACGCAUCACUGGUGUUCGGGUUGUCAUGCCAAUGGCACUGCCCGGUAGCUAAAUGCGGAAGAGAUAAGUGCUGAAAGCAUCUAAGCACGAAACUUGCCCCGAGAUGAGUUCUCCCUGACUCCUUGAGAGUCCUGAAGGAACGUUGAAGACGACGACGUUGAUAGGCCGGGUGUGUAAGCGCAGCGAUGCGUUGAGCUAACCGGUACUAAUGAACCGUGAGGCUUAACCUUACAACGCCGAAG
rnacentral:rRNA from 1 species